rnacentral:tRNA from 1 species
CCCUGGUAGCUCAGAUGGUAAAGAGUCUGCCUGAAACGCAAGAGACCCAGGUUCAAUCCCUGGAUCAGGAA